UGCUGGAGAGCUCGGUUGGUAGUGCAUGAGACUCUUAAUCUCAGGAACAUGGGUUCAAGCCCCAUGUUGGGCAA